AUGUGAGUUAAAAGGGAUCAUUUCCAGGUCUUUGGAAGCAGUGGAUCUCUCAGCUUGUCAUCAGGGGCAACAGAACUGCAGGUCCCAAACCAUCCUAGGAGUGAGCACAUCCAUUUGAAGACUCAGGAUCCACAGUAUUCCAUCCUGUGUUAAAACUAAUUGUGCUGAAAAUUUAUCAGUGAUUUAUUCUGCAGAGUUUCUCCAUUUGUAACUCUCCUUCCUGAACGUUUCAGCACCAUUGUGUUUGAUGAUAAGAACUUGUUGUAGCAACCUCUGUCCCUAAACACUUGGAAACUCUUGUUUAAAUAAACAUGCAACUUGUGAG